rnacentral:lncRNA from 1 species
UUCUAAAUGAGAAGGUAGCUGAGGUCUCUCUGCGUUCAGCAGGAGCCACAAGGAAGGAGUCCUCUCGCUUUGCCCAGGUCACCUCCUUCUGUCCAUCACUGCUGGCUUGUUUAUUCCCUCACUGGCUCACAUAGCUAUCGCAGGGCCCAAGCACUCCUGCUGUUGGAGGACUUGCCCCUCAUCAUAUUGGAAUAUGACAUUGCACCUGCAUCUCACUCCAGGAGGGUGCUUUGGCUUCUUGCAGAGGACAGCAGCUGCCAGGCAGUUUUGCCUCUUGUGAGAAGAGUGGCCAUGGGACCCACUGGGCUGCUCCAGGUGUUUCCUCGCCUCCUCUUCUGAAAAUCCAGGGAGGCCAUGCAGGCUCCUCCAGGCUGCUUGGUGUGGUCAGGCCGUGAGUGGUUCCAGCAGGCGGGAGCCUAUGUUGGCGCCGGAGUGGGUGCAAGUCAACCCACAUUCCAUCGCCUCCUCCUUUCUGCCCGCAGGAGCCUUCUUCUUUAUUAGGCAUCGCCCCAGCAAUCAACUCAUCUGAUCUUCACAGCAGCCCUGCAAGGAGCAGCAUUGUGGAAGGAGCUAGGGAUGUUAAAAUGAAUAAGAUCCAGCCCCUCACCCUCAGGGACCCCACAGCCUCGCACAGAAGGAAGUUGACAGUGGAGCCUCUGCCCCUCCAGACACACUGGGAGGUUCUGGCCUGUGGAGGAGCCCAUCGAGGUUUGAGUGAGGGAGCCGACAAAGAAGUGAAUGCAGGAACCAUCACUGGCAACAGAAGCAAUGGUCCUCCAUGUGUCCUUACAUCACUGAAUCUUCCCAGGGGCCUUGUGAACCAUGACUGAUGCUCACCCUCAUUUGCAGAAUUGUCUUGAGCAGAAGAUCCUGGCAACACGGUGAGCACCUAGGGAUUUAGGGAAGCCACUCUAGCACUCUGGCAUUGAUUGUCCUGGCAGGAGACAGAUGACAUCAGUUACUGGAGUUCCCUGCUACAAUGGAGAUACGGCCAAGGUGAUGUGGGGCAUGCGGGAAGAGGUGCUGGGUGGGCUGGCCAAGGAGGUGGACCUUGGAGAAGAACAUACCAGGCUGUCCAGGAGACGUGGGGAAGCUUUGGAGGUGGCAUGGAGCUUGGAAAAGGGCAGACAAUUCCCUGUAUAGGAAGCACAGGCAGUUUGAAGUAAGCAGCAAGAGAUGGGGUUGGUGAGGCAGGCUGGUAGCAGGUGAAGGGGAGAGUGGGCUUCGCUCUAUGCUGAGUAGGGAGCUAUUGGAGGGCUGACGAAAUAGAGUGUCCAGCUCAGGAGUGCAUUUCAGAAAAGCUGCUCCAGCCUGGAGGGCAGUUUGCCUGUAACAAAGAGGUCUCCUUAGAGGUCCUUGGACCACCCCAGGAUCUAGGAGUAGAGCAGCGGCAAAGGGGAUGAGAAUAAGACAAAGGAUAGGUAGAAAUGCCCAUCACUGAGGGGACUUGGAGACCUACUGGAUGAGGGGACAAAUGGAAUCUGAGGUUGUGAGUUAAAACUGUGACUCUAAGGCAAUGGCAAAGAAAUUUAAAAUAAUGGGGGCUGAAGAAGUAAAAGCCCAGGUACCUGGUCCCAGGUUGGUCUAGUAGCUCCACAAACAUCAGAGCCCCAGAUUCCUCCCACCUUUUUAGUCAUACCCAGCCUUGAACAUGCGGCCCAGAAAGGCUGUUCCAACUCCCGUUGUCACAUCUGCAAUCCACUUAGUGGAAUGAAAGAAAAGAGGGAGGGGGGCGCACUCAUUCAUCUCAAAGAUAUGACUUCGAAUUCCACACAUCUCUGCUCACAUCCUAUUGGUAGAGCUUAGAGGCAAGACCAUACAUAGCUGUAAGGGAUGCUGGAAACGGUAGGCUGCCAAGUGCCCAGCUAAACAUUCUUCCAUUGUGGAACAUGGUGGGGGAUGGAGCUAUGGGAGGACAACUAGGGAGGUUGUGCAAGCCCAGUGGCCACUCUGAGCUUGAUAUUUCUCAUUUACAAAACAUAUUCCAUGAAUAGUCACACUUCCUUUUUUACCAAAUAAAUGUAAAUAUGAUCCCUUCUCUGUCAACUGCACGCUGUGUUUUCCUGGCAAGUCAGAUGUCCCUAUUUGGAGACAGCUUUCCCAGCCAUUGAAGGAGACAUUGGAAAAUAUCCUCAACAUGGACUUUACGGGGCUUACA